CAAAACUAAAAACAUCGGAUUUGGUUGAAAAUCUCCCAAACACUACGUACUCGGGUGACAUAUAGCCACUGCAUAUGAAUAGAACAAUAUGUUACAGCCGAAGAAUAGUAAAAUGAGAAGGAAAGCUAAUGAAAGUUGGUCUCCAUGGAAGAUUCUUGCCAUACCGAAAUCUGAAAUUUUUGGGUUCAUCUCAGAAUCUAGAAGAAUGUUGCUGGUUUUUAGAUCCCUAUGGAUAAUUCUAAGUCUUGAGUCCUGAUGAAGAUACAAAAUUCCACGAGCAACCCCGUUGAUGAUUUCAAAGCGUUUUUUCCAAUCCAACAAGGACCUUUUUCUGUGAUC